rnacentral:lncRNA from 1 species
GGGUCAGGACCUGUGCGUGCAUCCUACCGCAUGCACGCGAGCCGUCCUCGCAUCAAUUUACGCACGGUUUAGUGUCACACAUUGUGCGUGAACUGUCUGUGUAGUAGAUAUGCACGGACAGGCCCUGUGUGCCUAGGGUCUAUGCGUAGUAGGUUUGCGCGUACGACGCCCAAUGCGCCUAGGCCUUGCGUGCACGGCAACAAUAUCAUGACUAGGCCUCAUUUACCUAAGUAAUAUCAUGACUAUAUACU